CCUCAGGGCCCGAAAGGACCAAGAGGUGAAAGGGGACCCCAGGGCCCUGACGGGAGGGACGGCAGACCUGGCAACCCCGGCCCUGCUGGGCCCCCAGGACCCCCUGGCCUCGGCGGAAACUUUGCUGCUCAGUAUGAUCACAACAAAGGCGCUGAUAUUGGUCCCGGCCCCAUGGGAAUGAUGGGAAUGAAAGGCCAACCUGGACUUCCCGGCCCCCCUGGAGAAGGAGUGAUAAUCCCUUGAGUCCGGACUUUGUUCCAUCUCUUUUCAACUACGUUCCAUCUCCAGAGAAGAGGAAAAGAAAAAUGAGACUGGAGGUUUUCAACAGACGACAGGGAGCAAAGCUACAGAAGAUGGAGCAGACAAAGCUAUCUGCGAAAGCCAUCCCUCCCAGAGCAUCAACAGAUUGUCCCCAAGACUGCAACAAGGAUCCUACUGCAGAGCAAAGUCCCACCACAGAGCCUUUGAAGGAAUCUACCCAUGAAGAACCUGGAAACGAUGUCCAGCCUGUUCUCCAUGAGGAGGAUCCAGCAACCCCACCAUGCACCACUGAAACCUGUGGUAAACGCGUCCAAUCUCUUGAGCAAGAAUGCCAAGCUCUGAGGACUGAAAAUAUGUUGUUGAAGGAAAAAAUGAAUAGGACUACACUGAAUGAGAUGAGCUUGCAUAACGAUGAUAAAAGGGUUCAUACUCUCACUGGUUUAUCAGCAUUCUCCAUUCUCAUGACAAUUUUUCAUAUUGUGGCUCCUUUUCUCCAACUUAAAUCUAGUUUAACAUGUUUUCAGCAGUACAUGUUAACUUUAAUUAAGCUUAGAAUGAACUUGUCCUUUGAGUUUUUGGCUUUUUAUUUUGACAUUGACUCAACCACUGUUUCAAAGCUCUUCAAACACUGCAUUAGUGUGAUGCAUUGUAGACUGGUGCCAAGUCUGGUGUUGUGGCCUGACAGAAUACUUAAGAAAAUCUCUUCCAUAUGCAUUUCGAAACCGUAGCUUUGAAAAGACAGUUUGCAUUAUAGAUUGUUUUGAAAUAUUUCUAGAGAAACCCAGUAGAUUGCUAGCCAGUGCUCAGUGUUACUCAUCAUACAAAUCACACCACACAAUGAAAUAUUUAAUUGCAAUUUGCCCUCGAGGUUCCAUUUGUUUCAUUUCCGCUGGAUGGGGAGGUCGCACAAGUGAUGAGUUUAUCACAGAACAAAGUCACUUUUUAUCUCAUUUGCUCCCAGGGGACGUAGUUUUAGCGGACAGAGGUUGUCUGGUUAAAGAGUCCAUUGAGAGAUGCCAAGCUGAAUUAAAAAUUCCAGCAUUUACUCGUGGAUAGAAGCAGUUAGAUCCUGCUGACUUGGAGAACACCAGACGUCUAGCCUCUCUUAGGAUACAUAUUGAAAGAGUGAU